GCCCUUCACAAACCCUCAAUCUGGCAGUGUUGGGGGUUCUCCCUUCCCAACCCCAGGUGCUCUUGGGUUUAUUUCAUAAAUUCUGCAGAAUUUAACAUAACCCUGGAUGUCUCAGAAUUGCUUCCUCCAAUCCAGCUGGUUAUCAACCCUGGGUGCUCUUGGAAUAAUUCCUCAAUCCAGCUGAUUAUUAUUAUUAUUAUUAUUAUUAUAAUAAACAAUAAACCUGGGUGUUCUUGGAAUAAUUUCCUCAAUCCCAGCAAAAGUUUUUUUAGGGUCCCCUUUUCACACACUUUACCUUUUCCCUGGGGGGGUUUCUCUCACUCCUUUUUACCAUUCACUUUCGUCCCCGUGCUGGCCGCCUCCCUCGCGGGACAACGGAACCGCAGCGUAUGGGACUCCGCUCUCGCUUGGAAGGUCCGGGUGUUACCCCAGCCCGCCUCUCAGUCACACACUUUCAGCCCCCGUUCCGCGCCAAACGCUACCACCCCCAAUCCCAGCAAUUCUUACCACUCCGUUGUCCUUGGGUCUUUAUUCUUCGUGUACACUUUGAUGUUAGGAGCUGGUUACCGCGGUUUUUAGGGAAUUCUUUCCCUUCUCUUUGCCUUAUUGCCUCCUUUUGUCCUUGGAUCUUACCCCUUUCUGGGUACUCUGCGAGGAACAGAGCCGAGGCCGCCUAAUGCAGGCGGGACGCGUCUCCCCGUUCCCAAUCCUUUCACAGUACUCACAGUGGGGGUAUUUUAACCAUCCUCUGCUACCAAAUAGUGAUAAACGCCAAUCACUCGCUUUUUGAAAUUUAUGAAAAUUUAAUAAAGAAUAAAAAUUGGUUACAAAAAUUAAUACAAUAAUAAAAGUUUAAAAAGGUUUUCAGAGACAGGACAAAUAAUGAGACAAUAAGAGCAAAGAAGGUAGCCCGGGUCUACCAUCCCCCCUCCCUCUCAGACAAAGGCUGUGAAGGAGAAGGGCCUCCUUCGGGAGGAAUGUCCCCUUUUUGAAGACCAAAAUUUCAAAAUUAUGCAAUCUUUAUCUUAAGACAGACCCGUUUGCCCAGAGUCCCCCUUCUAAUCCUGGGCGUCCAGGAGUUGGGCUUGACCAGGUGGCUUCUGUGGAUACAGGGAGAUAUGCCUCUUGUCUUCUGAAAGUCCUAAGGGGGGGUUCUCUUCUUCUUGUUGUAACUGUUAUCUCUGUUGAGAAACACCUCUGGGCCUCUCCCUUUUUUUUUUUUUUUU